UUUCCAGGAGAUUAAUUCGUUUUACAGAAGCAUAGGAGCUCCCUGCUCCGGAGUCGAUCAGAGCUCUGCAUUCAACGUCAUCCACUUUCAUUCUAACAACAGGAAAGAUUCCUUCCGGAUUCACCUCACAUGAAAUUAGCAAUUUCUUCCCCUUCACUCCACUCUUGGAAUCAUUAUCACAAACUGAGGUGUGGUGACGCCGCCCACACUUUUGACAUUUAGAGUGACUUGGGCAAUCACUCGCACGGUGUGAUGAACCGGUGCAGUUAUAACACAGAUGUUGUUUGGUAAGAAUCAACCGUCUUUCAGACACAGAUGAUACUUUUGGGCACUCAGCUGAUUUGUGUGAUUUCUCAGUACAAUAGACACACCCCUUGGGAGUAAAAUCUUGACGUCGGAUAUUAAGCAGUUUCCAGGGCCGCCGAGAGGUUGGCGGGGGCCCAGGGCAAAUUUUUUUUGGGGGGCCCCCUAUCUAAAUUUUUUUCCGGAGAACAACCUUCCCCCCCGUUCCGGAGUAAAAAAAAUUUCCGGACGUUCGGUACUUAGCCCAAGAAAACAGAUAUCUUGUCCUUUGCGCGGAAAUAUUUAACACACAAAAAUGUUUCAGGGGCUCCCACCACCCCGAGGCCCGGGGCAAUUCCCCCCCCCCCCUCGGAGGCCCUGGCAGUUUCCCUGAAGGAAGCUUCUCAACCGGGUUUGCCGAGUCCAAAGUCUCACAGCAUCAGACAGUUUUACAAAGUCCCAGGAUUCCCAAGCAUCACCUAUUCGAACAAGGUCGACAUGUAUUCCAGGUAGUUUGUCUGGUGCCAUCGAUACGUACCCAUUGACUUGAGAAAGUUUGCCAAGUGUUUCCAAAGACUGCACCGUAUAUGAUAAUUUAUCCGAGAACUCAUGAAUUCGCUUCACAUUGCCAUCAGGAAUUUUGGGCAAAUCGAAAAUCUGCUUGGUAUAAGCCUUUAUAAUUUAUGAUCGUUUCCCAUAUCUGUCCUGAGGGAUACUCUUUGCUCUAUUAGAACCUUCACUUGUAAAAGGUAGUGCUUCCACAAAUUUCCUGAUUUUAUGGUUCCAACAACUCUUGUAAAUAUGCGAAUUUAACAACAGCAUCAAUACUUGUUUUUCCACCGUCUCUCGGAAUUGUUCCCAGAAUCGAGGCCAGUCUUGGUAGGCACCAUUAAAUUUAGUAAUGAUGAGUUUAGGUAACUUUGCUUGUGACUCUUUCUUUUCAACACUUGCUGAUUCAUGCUUUAGUUUGGCUGCCUGUAGCUCAUUCUGGAAUUCUAGGCGUGUCUGAAAUAGUUCAUGUUCAAAAUCUAAUUCUUGCUUCCGCUAGUUUUCCUCGCAUUCUCGUUUCUUACUUUCACACCAUUCUCUCAGGUCAUGAAUGUCCUUGUCUGCUUCAGAUAACUUUUCCU